rnacentral:lncRNA from 1 species
UUCAUUCAAAGAACCGACUUUAGUUGCGACUGUCGGUGAUAACGAGUUUAUAACGUUCCAGGGACUCAAGUGCGUCGCCGGACGAACUCUCGAAGUCGUUAUUUGAGGUGUUCCUCACAGUUGACGUUGUCCCUAGAGGAGGACCUUGAUUCACUUAUGUCCAUGGGUGGCCCGCUUCACACCUGUCAGAAGUGCUCAUACGUGAGCAGAUGGAAGACCAACAUGACAAGACACCUUCGCACACACUCGGGCGAGCGCCCUUUCCAGUGCCACCUGUGUCCGGCCACAUUUAUUUCCAGUUGCACCCUCAACCGGCAUCUGCUAAGCCAUACGGGAGAACGUCCCUUUUCAUGUGUCCACUGCAAUGUGUCCUUUUCACGGAAGGACAACCUCAACAAACACAUGUGCUGUCAUUCAAAGAACACAUAAAGAUGCAUCCAUGCCUCCUACCAAAGUUCCAAGAGCUUGUGCUGUUCAGGGUUUUCCAGGAAUCCAGCUUCUUUUCAAAAAACAUCCAUUUGCUUGCAUUUUUGCAGGACACCAGCAGCUUCAUCUAUUAUCGAUGUACCAUUGUCAUAGUCAAGUGAUUAUAUAUACUGUACUGACAGCCACCAACACCUUUUAUUGCCCGGAACUAAUGUAAUGCAGAUCUGCGCGCUGCUCUGUCAUUUCACUACAGUCAUAAAAGAUAAGGUAUUUAUUUAUUGUAGCGACUGGUAUUUAAUCACCAGGAUAAAGAAAGAAGGUACUGCUAUGUGCUUACCAGAGAACAUACUCCAUUCAUAGAAAUGUGCAGGAAGAAAUUGUGCCAUUCUUCAGAUCAGUUCAAUAGCUUGUGCGAGUUAGUGGCAUAAAACUACAAAGGUGAAUGAGUUACUUUCAUUAUACUUUGUAGUGUCAUUUCACUCUUGCUCAGGUGCUGUAAAAAUAUGUAAAAUAUUUAUGAUUUACAUUACAUUAGAGACAAUGCUCUCAUGCUAGAAAGUAUGGCUGCACACUUCUUUAUCAGAAAAUGUUAACAUAAGUUAACCUUUUUAAAUGGUAUAUUUAUGAUUUAUUUUUUAGUGUGAUGUCUUUUGUUCAGUUUAUUUUAUAUUAAUUUAUUUCAUUGUAAUUUCUUUUGUAUAUGCUUUGUGUGGUUUAACAUCACCAGAUGCUUGUGAUGCACUGUGUAGACAUUUUUACAAAAAGAAUUUGUAUAUGUACUUGGCUGAAUUGGUUAGUAUGAAAUGCAGCAACACUUUCACAAAUUAAUUUGACAGCUUAGUCAUAGAACAAAAUCUACAUCCCAAAUCUGGCCUCUGUGUAUUGCCAGCAGGUGUUUGUUAUUAAAUAUUAACUACCGAGUGAUAGUGAAUUAGUAAUGAAGGCUUGCUGCUGUUCACGUUCAUUUGACACAGAUAGUACACACAUGGUACACAGAUGGUAUACAUAUGGCACACAUAUGGUCUUUAGUCUCUUUACCAAAUGUCCACGACUUCUUUAAACGUGACCGCCAUGCGUAUACAGGUGCGAGGUUAUCAUUAAAAAUUGCCAUCUAUAUCUAUCAGUUUUCUUAUCUUUCUGGCCUUUAUUAAAUCUAAAACUGUAAAUUGGAUACAAUCAAAUUGGUCAUAACCCACCAAUUAAGUUCAAUUUUCAAUGCUUUCCGUAUGCAAAAUAUUCUGCAGGUGUUGGCUUUUUAUUGAAGAAAUUACACUAAUUUUUGAACUUGCCUUUGUCACGGCAGCCUUGAUAAAAACAAGUCCACUUGUCAAAACAUUGACUCGAGCGACAUUUUCUGUUCAAGGAUUUUUCACCACUGCAAGCCUCCAACUUCCACUGAACUUGUCUCGUCAAGAAAAGAAACUAGUUUAAUAACAGAAGCCUAUUAUUUGAAUUGACUAGUUCUUUGUUUAUAAAGGUUUCUGUGUGUGUUAUGCGUGAAUAAACCAAGAGUGAAGGCA